AGUGGCGGACGGGUGAGUAACGCGUGGGUAACCUGCCUUACACUGGGGGAUAACAGUUGGAAACGACUGCUAAUACCGCAUAAGCGCACAGUGCUGCAUGGCACAGUGUGAAAAACUCCGGUGGUGUAAGAUGGACCCGCGUCUGAUUAGCUAGUUGGUGAGGUAACGGCUCACCAAGGCGACGAUCAGUAGCCGGCUUGAGAGAGUGAUCGGCCACAUCGGGACUGAGACACGGCCCAAACUCCUACGGGAGGCAGCAGUGGGGAAUAUUGCACAAUGGGGGAAACCCCGAUGCAGCAACGCCGCGUGAGUGAAGAAGUAUUUCGGUAUGUAAAGCUCUAUCAGCAGGGAAGAUAAUGACGGUACCUGACUAAGAAGCCCCGGCUAACUACGUGCCAGCAGCCGCGGUAAUACGUAGGGGGCAAGCGUUAUCCGGAUUUACUGGGUGUAAAGGGAGCGUAGGCGGCUUGGCAAGUCUGAUGUGAAAGCCCAGGGCUCAACCCUGGGACUGCAUUGGAAACUGUCAGGCUAGAGUGCAGGAGAGGUAAGUGGAAUUCCUAGUGUAGCGGUGAAAUGCGUAGAUAUUAGGAGGAACACCAGUGGCGAAGGCGGCUUACUGGACUGUAACUGACGCUGAGGCUCGAAAGCGUGGGGAGCAAACAGGAUUAGAUACCCUGGUAGUCCACGCUGUAAACGAUGAAUACUAGGUGU
rnacentral:rRNA from 1 species